rnacentral:rRNA from 1 species
AGUGAACGCUGGCGGUAGGCCUAACACAUGCAAGUCGAACGGCAGCACAGUAAGAGCUUGCUCUUACGGGUGGCGAGUGGCGGACGGGUGAGGAAUACAUCGGAAUCUACUUUUUCGUGGGGGAUAACGUAGGGAAACUUACGCUAAUACCGCAUACGACCUACGGGUGAAAGCAGGGGAUCUUCGGACCUUGCGCGAUUGAAUGAGCCGAUGUCGGAUUAGCUAGUUGGCGGGGUGAAGGCCCACCAAGGCGCCGAUCCGUAGCUGGUCUGAGAGGAUGAUCAGCCACACUGGAACUGAGACACGGUCCAGACUCCUACGGGAGGCAGCAGUGGGGAAUAUUGGACAAUGGGCGCAAGCCUGAUCCAGCCAUACCGCGUGGGUGAAGAAGGCCUUCGGGUUGUAAAGCCCUUUUGUUGGGAAAGAAAAGCAGCAGGUUAAUACCCCGCUGUUCUGACGGUACCCAAAGAAUAAGCACCGGCUAACUUCGUG